UAGGGAAUCUUCCGCAAUGGACGAAAGUCUGACGGAGCAACGCCGCGUGAGUGAAGAAGGAUUUCGGUUCGUAAAACUCUGUUGUUAGGGAAGAAAAAAUGUAUAGUAACUAUAUACAAAAGAGACGGUACCUAACCAGAAAGCCACGGCUAACUACGUGCCAGCAGCCGCGGUAAUACGUAGGUGGCAAGCGUUGUCCGGAAUUAUUGGGCGUAAAGCGCGCGCAGGUGGUUUAGAAAGUCUGAUGUGAAAGCCCACGGCUCAACCGUGGAAGGUCAUUGGAAACUAAUAAACUUGAGUGCAGGAGAGAAAGGUGGAAUUCCUAGUGUAGCGGUGAAAUGCGUAGAGAUUAGGAGGAACACCGGUGGCGAAGGCGGCUUUUUGGCCUGCAACUGACACUGAGGCGCGAAAGCGUGGGGAGCAAACAGG
rnacentral:rRNA from 1 species